CCCCUCUGAUCCUGACCCCUCAGAUCUGAACCCUGCUCUGAGUUAGAAAGGAGGAAAAGCAAAAACUGAAGUGGACUUGGGUUCUUUAGUGAGCUAUAAGAAGUUCAUUUCAAACAAAA
rnacentral:snoRNA from 1 species